ACGCCCACAAGGUCCAGGUUGUGCCUGC
rnacentral:piRNA from 1 species